rnacentral:rRNA from 1 species
UACGUAGGGUGCGAGCGUUGUCCGGAAUUAUUGGGCGUAAAGGGUUCGUAGGUGGCUUGCUAAGUCAGACGUGAAAUCCCUCAGCUUAACUGGGGAACUGCGUCUGAUACUGGCGAGCUUGAGUGCAGGAGAGGAACGCGGAAUUCCAGGUGUAGCGGUGAAAUGCGUAGAUAUCUGGAGGAACACCGGUGGCGAAGGCGGCGUUCUGGACUGCAACUGACACUGAUGAACGAAAGCCAGGGGAGCAAACGGG